UUGCCAAAAUUCCACAUUGAGAAGUCUGUUUAGGAUAUGGGAAAAUGAUUAUUUUACCAUUUCUAUGCUACCAACAACAUCAAUCGAUGUUGUUGUUGUUGUUGUAUGCUACCAAUGAAGUAAUAGAACUUACCGGCAAGUUUUAGCAGCUCUUCCAUGGAUUCAGCUGCUGCUUGUUUACUGGUCUUGACUGGGAUGCUGGAGAUGCAAUGUGAGUCGGAUUUUUGCGAACAAAAACCGUAAGAGGGGGAUUGUAGGAGGUCAAAAGGAAGUGGUCAGACUUACAAAACUUCUGGUGCGGCUAGUCCAGUGAACCACGAGGUUGGUCAUAUUCCCGAUCAGGAUAUCUAUCUGCAAUUAGGUAGUUGAAGCAUCCGGCACAAUGUACUGCAAACAGGGUAACCUGAGAUUGACAAGAACAAAAAUAGUUGAAACGGAUAUCUUUCUCAAGCCUUAAGGAAAGAGAAAAGCAGGAGAAUAAGUACUACAUCCAUCUUCCAAGUUGAACAGCAGACUCAGUGACUGGAAGGGCGCUGUUGAACACACAUCAAAGGCAAACCACGUAGAGAGGACUGUCAACUAGAAGAUAAGAGUGGCUGUCGAGAUAUGCCACAAAGAAGGUGAUGAAGGCAAAUUCAAAGGGACAGAUCAACGCCGAGUAAAUGACCAGAAUGACCAGCCACAUCUCCCAUGCCCUGAAUCAAAAACCCAAGCGGCAGUCAAGCAGAGGACUGGAACAGAACUCAUCAACGUAAGUACAUGAAAGAAUUUAUGGAUAAUCUCACCUAUAACGUGGAUCAAAAGGAGAGAUUAUAUGUUUACGAAGCUUGGUGGAGUGGUUUAUUCUGGCUCCAAGUGACGGCAAAAGAUCGGCAGAGAGGAAACUGCUGUGUUUGAUCGUGUCCAUUGGGGUAAGGCUCCUUUAGCAAGGUAGUUAUAAAUGGUGAUGAAGGUUGUGACAAGUGACAGGGGCUAACGUUCUCCUUUAUUUUUCCCUCGUUUCUGUUGUGACUUUUAUACCAACUUGCACUGACCCAUUGUUUUUCCUCUUCUGACAAAAAUGAAUGUUACAGAGGGAGGUUUAAGGCCUUUCACAAGUGCGCCAUUAACACCCCAAACCCACAAGGUAAAAAAAAAAAGGAAAAAGAAGAAUGGUUAAGGGUGGUACUCUUUUUCUACCCUGAGAGAACCACAACAGGUGAAUAAGAGGUGAGAAAAAUGUGGAACGAUCCGCGUUAUACAGGGAGAAGGAGAUGGCGGUAAGUGGAAGACAAUAAGCUUUUGCAGCAAUGCCAGACUUUCUUUUUCUUUUUUCCUUUAGCAGGUAGUGAAAGUUUUGAACCAGAGAGAGAGAGAGAGAGAGAGAGAGAGGAUGCAAUCUGGUAAUGGGGUUUCUACUCGAUGAGAUGGUGAUGGUGGUGGGAGAUCCAUUUUCUCACCAUUCGAAGGUGGGAAUGAUAUAUAGGCAUACGCACAGACAAAAGAGGAAUCCGGAAAUGGACCAAGUGCAAAAGAAAGAAAAGAUGGCCUUUGACAGAAUAUUUUUCAAGGGCCAGAGGAUAAUUUUUUUUAGUAUUCCUUAAGGAUCUUUUUCCUUUUUAUUCCGUCUUAAAAACCAAUCAUUAGUAUACGGUAUGCAUUUCAAACACUACUUAAAAUUUUCUUUUGAGAAAAAAAAACUUCUUGAUCAAUAUUUGAAUAUAGCUUCCAUUUUGGAAAUGGUUAACGCUUUUAAGUAUUCUUACCAGAGCGAAUGGAGCUUUGCUGCUUAGUUACGGAUGCCACGUGGAGCAAGAGCAGCUCUCCAUGUCAGAUUCCACAGCUUUUUCUCUCUCCCCUCUUCCCCUCCCCGAGAACCAGAGGAGGUUUCAGUAGUAGUAGUUUUUGGUGCAAAAACGGAGCCUCUAACUAUGAAUUUAGCGAAGGCACGCGGUUGGUUCUAUUCUAUGUGGUGACACUUCGAGAUGCCGUUUCCUUCGACCAGUGGACCCUCUGGUGAUUUUGGUGACUCUUCUCUCAACAGAUUCAAUUUACAAUGAAGAACGAUGAUUUCACUUCAAGAAGAAAAAAAAACUAAGGUUAUAAGGGAAAACUGGUGAGAAGCAAAAAAAAAGAGAGAGAGAAGAGGAUGAAAUAAAGGUAAAGAGAAAUCUUUGUGGUGGAUCUCAUAGGACAAAGGCAGAGGGCAACAGGGCAGUGGUCCUUUGAGAACAAUGAUGGUUGCCCUCACCUUGCCCCUCAUCUAGCCCUUCAAAGAUACGUGGUCCGUUUAGUUUUUUUUUUUAAACGUGUUACCAAGUCCAUGCGUAUGCACAAAGGAAACUCUUGACUUCUCAUUAGCUUUUUACAGACCUAACAAUUAAGCCCUCAAACGAAAAACUAGUGUGAUUAAAACAAUCCAUGAUA